GUAGGUCGUCAUGUUUUUUAUUUUAAUCCUCCGGAUCAAUUUGUAUGCCUAUGAACAUUUCCAUUCAAUACUUCUUAUCUUUACCUACUAAUAAAGGAAGUAAGAUUUCUCCCCAAAAAUUUCGUCCGUUUUUAAACUGCCAUCGAAUUUGAACUAAAUUACCCCCCAUGCCAUUGGUAAGUCCUUUACCGGUUCGUUAUUUUCCAUCCUCUGCCCCGAAGAACCCAAAGCCACGAUUCGAUCCUCCGUCCCAACCCCUCCGCCAGAUGCGUUCACCUCUGCGCCGCCCCAAUCACCAAGCUGCCUACCUAGCCAUGUCCAUGGCGGGUGAUGGGUCCCCGACCUCGCACAUCCUCGUGUCUCCUGCGUUCUCAUGGCCGCUGCCGCCCUCGCUUGCAAGUUCCCCAGCUCCGGCGACCUAGACUCCGCCCUGGAAUCUAAUCAUCCAGCGUGUGGUCUCCGUCGCGGUUGCCGUCUCCGUCGAUCUCCAGGAUGCACCGCGUUCCAGGCCCCGAGCUUCAAGGGAGGGGUGCCGCGUGCCGGAGAGGAAAGUCACCACUGCAUCGAGCUCCAGGCUGGAGCGCACCUCAGAUUGGAGGGCGUCGAUUUCACAAGCAGCCACCAAUUGAUUUACUAGCUCAACUUCAUCGCCACCAGGGUCACCGCCCAUUUCUCUCAAGCAAGGAGGGCUGCAAUUUGUUGAUUCAAUCUCUGGCAUGGAACUCUGGACAAAGCCACGACCGGGAUGAGCUCCAGUUCUUUACCGGCGGCAUGCCCUUGCACCCUACCCUAGCCGGCGAAGUCCUGGGCAGGUUGUCGAUACUAUCGGUGGUGUGUUCGUCGGUCGGUCGUUGAUCUCCUUGAGGAUCGCUUGAACGCCAUUGACGGAAUCAACAACGCAGGAAAAAUUCCCAAUCGAAAUCCUGCAGGGCAAAUUCCAGUGUAAAACGUGCUGAGAGGAUCGACCAUGUGGCGACAAAUCCCCAAGCAGUGUUCGGUGCUGCAGGUAUUGAGUUUGCACAUGCCGGAGGGAAGCUGGAGGCAGAUGCCCUUCUUUCAGUGGUGCUCGUGUGGUUACUGGUGAUAAUCUAGGUUCGAUUCAGCUUUUCCAGUGGUUGCACAUCUUCUCUGUGACUUCAUGGACGGUCAUGAUUUUUACUGUUGUUGCCGCCUUCUAUUUAAAGUAUGAACACAUAACACAUGCAAGAUGUAUGACAAAAGGCUUCUUCGGACUGUAGUUAAGAGUAAAUAUGAGGGGAUGUUUUC